rnacentral:lncRNA from 1 species
GAUAGAUUAAGAAAACGUUCUUGAAAUGGAUUCUAUGAAUGUGUUUGUUGAAUAGAGGUACACUGGUGCGCCACACACCCAAAUCUGCCCUCGAGCUUUAAAUAUAGAUUAACUACAUAUAUACAUGUAGAUCGUUGUGUUAAUUUACCGAUUCCCCCAAACGUGUCUUUUCUCCCUAAACAUGUCCGAAAUGUAUAAUACUCCCCAAAACGUGUCCGAUAAUUGCUAUUCGCCAAAACGUGU